UACGUAGGGGGCAAGCGUUGUCCGGAAUUAUUGGGCGUAAAGGGUGCGUAGGCGGCCUUUCAAGUUGGAUGUGAAAUCCCCAUGCUUAACAUGGGAAUUGCAUUCAAAACUGGAGGGCUUGAGUGUGGAAGAGGUAAGUGGAAUUCCCAGUGUAGCGGUGAAAUGCGUAGAUAUUGGGAGGAACACCAGUGGCGAAGGCGACUUACUGGGCCACAACUGACGCUGAUGCACGAAAGCGUGGGGAGCAAACAGGAUUAGAUACC
rnacentral:rRNA from 1 species